rnacentral:rRNA from 1 species
AGAGUUUGAUCCUGGCUCAGGAUGAACGCUGGCGGCGUGCUUAACACAUGCAAGUCGAACGGAACUCUCUGGAACGAGGCUUCGGCCAAGUGAAUUUGAGUUUAGUGGCGGACGGGUGAGUAACGCGUGAGGAACCUGCCUUUCAGAGGGGAAUAACAGUUGGAAACGACUGCUAAUACCGCAUAACGCAUAGGGACCGCAUGAUCUUUAUGCCAAAGAUUAUAUCGCUGAGAGAUGGCCUCGCGUCUGAUUAGCUAGUUGGCGGGGUAACGGCCCACCAAGGCGACGAUCAGUAGCCGGACUGAGAGGUUGGCCGGCCACAUUGGGACUGAGAUACGGCCCAGACUCCUACGGGAGGCAGCAGUGGGGAAUAUUGGGCAAUGGGCGCAAGCCUGACCCAGCAACGCCGCGUGAAGGAAGAAGGUCUUCGGAUUGUAAACUUCUUUUAACAGGGACGAUAAUGACGGUACCUGUUGAAUAAGCUCCGGCUAACUACGUGCCAGCAGCCGCGGUAAUACGUAGGGAGCGAGCGUUAUCCGGAUUUACUGGGUGUAAAGGGCGUGUAGGCGGGAUUGCAAGUCAGAUGUGAAAACUCCGGGCUCAACUCGGAGCCUGCAUUUGAAACUGUAGUUCUUGAGUGAUGGAGAGGCAAGCGGAAUUCCUAGUGUAGCGGUGAAAUGCGUAGAUAUUAGGAGGAACACCAGUGGCGAAGGCGGCUUGCUGGACAUUAACUGACGCUAAGGCGCGAAAGCGUGGGGAGCAAACAGGAUUAGAUACCCUGGUAGUCCACGCCGUAAACG